GUGAGGAAUAUUGGUCAAUGGGCGAGAGCCUGAACCAGCCAAGUCGCGUGAAGGAUGAAGGUUUUAUGAAUUGUAAACUUCUUUUGCAGGGGAAUAAAGUACGGUACGUGUACCGUUUUGUAUGUACUCUGCGAAUAAGGAUCGGCUAACUCCGUGCCAGCAGCCGCGGUAAUACGGAGGAUCCAAGCGUUAUCCGGAUUUAUUGGGUUUAAAGGGUGCGCAGGCGGGUUGAUAAGUCAGCGGUGAAAGUUUGCAGCUUAACUGUAAAAAUGCCGUUGAAACUGUCGGACUUGAGUGUAAAUGAGGUAGGCGGAAUGCGUGGUGUAGCGGUGAAAUGCAUAGAUAUCACGCAGAACUCCGAUUGCGAAGGCAGCUUACUAAGCUACAACUGACACUGAAGCACGAAAGCGUGGGGAUCAAACAGGAUUAGAUACCCUUGUAGUCC
rnacentral:rRNA from 1 species